rnacentral:tRNA from 1 species
GCCUAGUUAGCUCAGUUGGUAGUGCGUCUGCCUUGUAAGCGCUAGGCCGCGGGUUCGAUUCCCACCCGGGGUG